UCUCACCUGGUCAACAUUUGGAUUGGAGUUACUCUAAAGCAGGUGUGUCAAAGUCAGUUCCUGGAGGUCAACUAUCUUCUAUGUUCUAGAUCUUUCCUUCUUCCAACACACCUGAUUCAAAUAAUCAGCUCAUCAUCAAGCUCAGCAGAAGCCUGAUAACGAGCCUGAUCAUUUGAAUCAGGUGUGUUGGAACUGAGUUUGACACCCCUGCUGUAAAGGCUGUGUGAAGCUGAGAGUUUGAACUGAUUUUCAGGCUGAAAUGCAGCUCCUGUGGAGGUAUUGGGUGUGAAGGUGGGUGUGGCACACCAAUGAGUCUGUGUGUGUGCGUGCGAACAUGCCUGCGCGUGUGUAAGGGCGGUUGCUAUGGGCCCCCAUAGCAACGGUGCCUGCCACAGACAGCAAAAAAGUGCUUCUCAGCAGCAGCGCGCAACGUCUCGUUCUGGCGCUAACUGUGGGCUAACCGUGAAUGGUAGCUGAAAACUAAAAUGACCGUGAGCGAGAGGAAGGCCGUGGCUUUCCAUAAAUGUAAUUAUUUUCCAAAUAUUGUGAGAAAUGACCGAGUUACAGCGAUUUAAAAAACACUGUCCCUCCAUGAGGCAGAUGAUUCAGUUUACAUUGGUUCCUAUGGAGAGAACGGUGCGACUUUGGUCUAAACUGCUGCCUGCCAUUUCACUUCAGAAAGAGCUAGGUCUUCAAACUUGGAUUCAUUUGAAUCCCAGGAAAAUUGUUUACAAUCUGACCAAAUUUCAUUCCCCUAACAUUUAUGGUUUGGUCGUGAGGGCGAUGCAAUCGGGAAAUUUUCAGGCGGAUUUUUGACCUCUCCUCCACUCUACCAACUGACAUGCCGCACUCUAACCAGAGCAAAUUUUGAAA